AAUGCAAGUGAAAUGUCCACUAAAAACCUCCCCGGACAUCUUAGCCCAAACCAUGAUAAGUACGUAAUUAACACUGUUUGUCUUGCUUCAGUUUAACUGAACAUAAGACUGGUGUCAUCCAUUGUACGAACAAAUGAUCCCAACUUUUCCGCUCAGGUAACGUAAGCAUCCAGACUUGCGAUACGCGUUUAGCGCCAUCUCUCAUGUACAUGCACGCAGCAUCAAUCAGAGCCGCUUUGAGCCGUCCGGAAGACUACUUUUAAUGUUCAUUGUAAGUCUGCGCCUCCGUCAUAUUUAAAGAGUAAUUCCAAUCACGGUUAAAUUUUUAAUACCGUAACUUGCGUUUUCGCGCUUGUUUUGACAGAUCUGAGAUUUAAAAAUGGCGCUACCGGAAAUGCUUCAGGACCAGACAUGCGCAGUAGCGUUCCAACGCCUUUGUUAUUGUUUACGUCCUUGAAAUGGCUCAGACCUGUAACGGAACUAACUUUACCCUGCGCUGACGUAAUUUCCGAUUAACAUCAACGCUCCACACUCCAUCCUAGUAGGUGGCGGUAAAUGCACCUAAAGCUGGUUUGCCAACCGCCAUAAAACGUCAAAGUAGUAACGUUAGUAGUAAUUUCCGAUUUUUGUGAAAAAGGCUAAUUAGAGCGCACCACGUGAACUUUUGUGGUAACCAUAGCAACAGUUUGCAGCUCCAUCGUUGAGAUCCCUUAUCAGACAUCGACAAAACAUAAAAAGGUAACAACUGUAUGUAAGAGCUGAACUUGGGCCAGAUUACAUGUGACAUGUUGUGGUUUACAAUUUCCUCAUAUUUGCCAAACAGUCAAAUGAAUGAGAAAAAGAUGAGCAGAAUGAGACAAAUGAAUGAGAGAAGUUCACUUCUAGUUGCAGAAGUGAAGGCAAGUUAACAAAUGAAAGAAACCAGUGGAGCAAAGGUGAAGAGAAAUGAAAGAAAACUACUUGUCACUGAGAUAAAUGACAUGAGAAGAGACACAUUGAACAGAUAAAAACUGCCAGGUAUGAAAGAGAUGAGAUGAAUAAUUCUGUUACCUGCUCCUGUCAUUCCUCCUCUUUCUUGUGCGCUCUCCCUCUCUCUGCUCCCUGGCUUGUGUGAGUUUGUCAAAGAGCGUCCGCGUAUUUAUGCCUACUGACUUCCUCCUCAGAAAUCUGAGGAACAUUUUCACUUUCACUUCUUCACUAGACUGCCCACAACCUCCCCCUCCAAACAUCUCAAUGUCUUUCCCUUCUCUUUUUAUGAUUCCUGUCAUCUCUUUCUUAUA